ACCUUUUGUUUGACCAUAUUCCUUGCAUAAAGCCUCUGCCUUGGAGUAAUCUACAAGAAUAAACAAAAGUACAGAGGAAACCACUUACUAAUCUUUCACAUGUCACUUACAGUUGGAUAACAACAGGAAGCCUGGGAAUCAUUUUAUUCCCAACUUUACAUCUAUUUGCUCCUGGAUUAAAACCAAACAGCUGAGAGAUAUGUGCCUGGUAACCAAAUUCAAAUGAGAAAAUGCCAAAGAAACAACAAAAUUAUGGGGCCACAAAACCAAGGAACACCAUCAGCUCCCGAAAACCACACAGAAGCAAGUUGUAGCACUCAACUGCUCAUUGUGGCCAAUCCUGCUGUGGAGCAAAAUGGAGCAUCAGCACUCUGAAAGCCCUAUCCGCUUCUUUGAUGGUGCUGAAAACUGAUCCAAUGAGGAGCACAGCUGUGGAGACCAUGAAGGUACCAGAUUGAAUCUCAAAUUUCUGCCAAAUGAGCUGGUCUCAGGAGGAUUGCAGCAAGACUGCUAUAAAAAAACUUCAAUACUCCAAGAUACAGAAGGAAUACGCAGCCCAGUCUGUCAUUACUGGCAUAUAAUGAGAGACAAAGAAUAAAUUACUAACCUCUUCCAUUGUACGCAAAAGACUCUGUCAGCAUGCAAUUGGAUCAGUUUCAAUAUCAGUACUAUAAUGACAUAAUGAGCUCUGUCUAACAAUGUCCAACAUCUCUUCAAUUACAAAUGCAUGCAAAACACACUGGGAGAGGGGAAGAUAAUAUUUUGAUCCAGGAUUUAGUUCAUAAAAUCCAAGAAAUAAUAAAAUUGAAGUUAGUCUCCCUCAUGUGCUCAAUGGAUGUUCUCAUUGCA